CCACCAGCCAGCCUUUUCCUCUUGCAAGUUCCCUCUCUCUCACUAGAGAGAGAGAGCUGUUUUUCUUUCUCUUUCUUUUGUCUAUUAAACCCCUGCUCCUAAACUCGUGUGUGUCCGUGUCCUAAACUCUCCUGGCACCAGAAGAACCCUGAUUAUUUACCCAGACAACUGUAGCUGCUUCAAAGUGCAAAUAGAAUCAAAAGUUCCUGAUAUAGAAUAAGCAAAUGAUGGAAGAAGCCAAGUUUCCUGAGUGGCCACUAGGAAAACUCUGUCUUCUUUAUCAAAACUAUGAGGUAUGUGUCCUCCAAAUUCUUAUGUUGGAACUUCAGCCCCAAAGUGAUUGUAUUAGAAGGUGAAACAUUUAAGAGAUGAUUAAGUCAUAAGGGCUCUGACCUUCUGAGUGGGAUUAAUGUUCUUAUAAAAGGGCUGGCGAGAACUAGCUAUGCCUUUUUGCCCUUCUGCCAUGUGAGGACACAGCAACAAGGAGCUGUCUAAAAAGCUGAGACGGAGCCUUCACCAGACACUGAAUCUGCCGGCGACUUGAUCUUGGAUUUCCCAGCCUCAAGAACUGUGAAAAUAAACUUCUGUUGCUUAUAAAUUACUCCGUCUGUGGUAUGUUGUUAUAGCAGCAGGGAUGGACUAAGAAACUCUCUCUUUAUAUAAACAAUUACUUGUGGAGAAGUCUGUAUAAUUACAGAGUAAAAUCUUUAAAAUCUCAUGGGUUUAUAAGUAGCCUUACCUGCUGUCUUAAAUUCAAGAUUCCCACAUUUGCACCUCUUUAGUAUAUAGAAUAUAGACUAUAAAAAUAGUCUUGGCUAUCUAAGGCUAGUGGCCAACUGUCUAUUGCAGAGAAAGAGUGAGAAAUUUAAUAUAAAUAUUCAUUCUUACAUAUCCACUUCCUAGGCUAAUUAUCUAUUUAAGAAACUUUGCCUUAUUGCUACACACAUACAUUUAUAAAUAAAAGUACUUCUGCAUUUUUCAAAUAUAAAUUAGUUUUUUAAGACUUGCGUGCAUACCUAAAAGCAUAUGCACCAGAUAUGUCCAUAUAAGCACAAUUCCAAUCAAAGAAAAAGACUGUACUUAAACCAACAGUAAGGCCUUAAAUCAACUAGGAAAUCCAAUUCAAUCAUAUUUCAGGGUUUAUCAUUUCAGUCAUACAAACUUUAUCCUGGACAAAAACUGAUGUGGGAUGUGUGUGUGUGUAGUUCUAAAUAUUGUAAGCAAAUUUAUUUAAAUGAGCUCAUCUGGAAAUACUGAGUUCUAUGUAAUACAUUUCUUUGUAUUGAACACAAUUGAUUUCUGUGUGUCAAAACAAUGAAAGUGGGUCAUUAAAGCAAUUAUUGUUACUGUGUAAUUUUACUACAUAAAUUACCAAAUAAAUAAUAUUAUUGCAGAAAAACACAAGCUUACUAUCUUUUUACUUAUUUUCAAGUGAAAAGAUGGAAGAGCUAUUCCUAUGUCCUGAAAAGUCCAUAUAUUAGUUGAACAUGCUGAUAUCUGAUUCAUGAAAUCUCCAUUGCUUCAGUACCAUAGAUGUGAAAUGAUUUUAAAGCAUAUUCACAUUUGUCAUCCUAUGUUUUUAUAUUUAAUAAUUUUACUCUAAUUUUACAGUUACUGAAACUGUUACAUAGCUGUGCUGUUCUAUAUCUGGACAUGCUGUGUAUAACAGUAUGUUAUUUUUACAGGUACCGGACUUUAUUCUCUAGAUCUUUUCAGGGGCAUGCAUAGCUCUUAAAGCACCCAUGCUCAUAUUCAAAUCUUCUAAUCUUUU
rnacentral:lncRNA from 1 species